rnacentral:rRNA from 1 species
GACGGGGCCCGCACAAGCGGUGGAGCAUGUGGUUUAAUUCGAAGCAACACGAAGAACCUUACCAGGUCUUGACAUCCCUGACAACCCGAGAGAUCGGGCGUUCCCCUUCGGGGGACAGGGUGACAGGUGGUGCAUGGUUGUCGUCAGCUCGUGUCGUGAGAUGUUGGGUUAAGUCCCGCAACGAGCGCAACCCUCGACCUUAGUUGCCAGCAUUCAGUUGGGCACUCUAAGGUGACUGCCGGCUAAAAGCCGGAGGAAGGUGGGGAUGACGUCAAGUCCUCAUGGCCCUUAUAGGUGGGGCUACACACGUCAUACAAUGGCUGGUACAAAGGGUUGCCAACCCGCGAGGGGGAGCCAAUCCUCAAAGUUGGUCUCAGUUCAGAUUGCAGGCUGCAACCCGCCUGCAUGAAGAUGGAGUUGCUAGUAACCGCAGGUCAGCUAUACUGCGGUGAAUACGUUCCCGGGGCUU